GUCCGCCUCACCGCGUGCACUGGUCCGACCGGGUCUUUCCUUCUGAGGAGCCGCAUGCCCUUCACUGGGUCUGUCGGGGAAUCAGGACUUUUACUUUGAAAAAAUUAGAGUGUUCAAAGCAGGCCUAUGCUCGAAUACAUUAGCAUGGAAUAAUAGAAUAGGACGUGUGGUUCUAUUUUGUUGGUUUCUAGGACCGCCGUAAUGAUUAAUAGGGAUAGUUGGGGGUAUCAGUAUUCAAUUGU
rnacentral:rRNA from 1 species